GUUCUAUUAAACUUUUAAACAAAUUAAAAUUACGCGCGAUAAUCGCCCUACUAUACCUGCCAGCUAUAUUAUGCUAUAUCAUGCACGUCCGUUAUUGUUCGUCUCUCCGCAGCCUUUGUUGUAGUUUUUAAAUCGUCCGUAAUAUCAUCUUAUCGGCCAUUUAAAAACAACAACCAAAAAAAAAAAAAAUUAAAGAGUAGUCCGCGAAACGAAAUAUUUUUCAAAAGUACCUACCCAUAAUAUUAGUCAUUGUGAUAUUAUUAUAUCCGCAUCGUCGUGUUAUAAUAUCGUAACAUAUUUUUAUGCGGAGAGAACGUCCGCCUGCAAAAGUCUCUUGACAGCGGGGAGAUUUGUCUCGCGACAACGUUGACAACAUCGGUUUUCAAAGACACGGAAAACGUCUGGGUGGUCCAACGGUUCGGAUGUAACGUAAGACUUUUGGAAAAAUGUACAUUUUUCACUGCGAAAAUUUAAUAAACCCGAAAAAAGCGAUGAAAAAAAAAAAAAAAACAAUUAUACUAUCCAACUGUUCGUGGAAAUCCUUUAACCGUUUGAUGAAUUGAUAUUCGGACAGUGGCGACGCAAAUACGUUUCGAUUUUUUUUUUAUCACGUCGAACAGCAAAGAAAAAAAAAAACGAAAUAGAAAAAAAAACCACAUAGUUUUCUCGCGAAUUCCCGGCCGAAAUAUAUCACGUGAAUAUCACGUAGGUAGGUGACGUCUGGGGGACAAAACAACCGUAUAAAAUAUAUAUAUAUAAAAAAAAAAAUUUUAAAAAAAUACUAUUUAGCACUAAAUUUAUCAAGAAUUUCCAGAAAAACACUUUUUUACCAGAAUGUAAUUUCAUAUUAUAUAAUAUUAUCAUAAUUUAUAUUAUAGUCGUAAUAAAUGUACGUAUACUUAUAACAACAUUUUUACGAACAAUAAUAUUAUUACACAAAUAAAAUUUGUUUUAUUUUGAAAAAAAAAGUGUACAUGUUAAAAGUUUAUAAUUUUUUGUUCCUUUAUUAUUAUUAUUUUUUUUUUUUUUAUAGUUAUUAUUAUUUAUUUAUUUAUUUAUUGAGUUUGUUAAUGUUUUUUUUUUUUUUAUCAUCUUUACCUACAAUAUAGUUGCACAUUAUAACAUAUUAUACAGAUUGCAAAUCUACGAGUGACGUAAUUAAUUUAAUUUAAUAAUAAUAUUAUCACAAUAUGGUAGAAACGCGUGUAAUGUUUGUCCUUGUCGUUCUAUCGUGGUCAACGAACGCAUCGUUCCUUAUAAUUUUACAUGACGCACGUUCAUAAAACGAUAACGUGUGUUUAACAAUACGCAAAUAAUUCGUACGUCAUCAUAAUAUACAAUUAUGAAUUUAUUGAAUUUUCGCACAUGUAUUUAUCUCUCUCUCUUCCCCUGAGUCACUAGUGUUCGAUUUGAGGAAUCAGGAGACGCGGAAACGGAGUACCUCGGUUUUUUUUUUUUUUACAAAAAAUACCACCUUCUUCCGUCACCUAUCUUUUAUAACGGACAAAAAAACAAGACAAAAUUAUUUUCAAUCUUUAGGCAUUACAUUCACCCAUUUUUAUAAUUUUUUGACUCCCCCCCCCCUUCCUUCUGAGUUGUUUUCUCCGCGAUUCAAAAUUACAAAUUAAACGUCAUUGGGGGAAAAAAAAAAAAACUCGAGACAAAUAAUAUCUCGCUGCAAUGACGAUGACGGACAGACAUUACCGUAUAUAUAUAUAAAGACAUCAUUUUUUUUUCUCUUCGUAUUACAAAAAACAAAUAAAUAAAACUAUACCGUAUGAAUACCAAAUAAUGUAUAACAUUGUAGUUAAUAUUUUUAAAAAAAAAAAAAAACCAAAAUUUAACUCAUUACAAAAAUACUAUACUAUAAUGAUAACAUUUUUAUAAUAUAUAUUUUUUUGUGACGCGUAUAAUAAAAUACAUGUUAUAAAAUAAACUACGAAGGUAUAAAAAUAUUACGAUUAAAAAAAGAAACGUUGAACCUACAUGUUUUUGUAUAUCUUCGCGACACCUCUUUUUUUGAUAUCGGACACGUAUAAUAUUAUAUUUUAUUAUAAAGAGUAUGCAUAUUAAUGUACAUAUGCCAUUGUUUUUCAUUUUAGAAUAGCAUUGAAGGACAAGAGACGACUUUAUCAAAGAAAAAACAAAAAAAAAAAAAAAACAGACAAUCAAAAUUUAUAAUAUAUUAAUAUAUACCAUAUAUUGAAAUUUUAAUUUUAUCGUAAUGGAAUAUUAAAAAGAUUCACUCACUAAUAAACGAUGGUUUAAAAUUGAAAAAAAAAAAAUAAAAAAAAUACUAAUAAUAAGUAAUAUUAACAAUAAUAAUAAUGAAUUCUAAAUAUUCGAAAACCGUUUAAAUAAUUGCAUUAAUUUACAAUGUAAUUUCAUAUACGCAGGUAUCGACUUAUUAUUGUUUUUUUUUUUAUUCUGUCUCUAAUUCGUUCGUCUUGUCGAGAAUAAAAAUUCAAACGAUUUUUAAAUUAUCUACGAACAUUUAAAUUUACAAUGAAAUACGACUUUUUUAAUUCACUAUCUACAUAACUAAUAAAUUAACGAUACCUAUAUUAUAUUUAUUCAUACAUAACAAACUUAAAAAUAUAAUAAUAUGCACAACUAUAUAUUCACAGCACACACAUAUACAUAUUACUUAUAUAUAUAGUAAUAUAUAAAUAUAUGUACAUGUACACAUGUAUAAUAUAUUAUAUAUAUUUAUAUUUAUUUAUUUAUUAUAUAUGAAUACAUUUGUAUGUGUACACGAACGCUAAUUUCUAAGCUUAUUUAUAUAUUUUUUAAGAUAAUUCUUUUUUUUAACUUCAUUAUAAUUUUCGUGAUAUUUUUUACUAUAAUAGUUUUGUAGUCGUAAGAAUGAAUACAAAAAAAAAAAUGUUAUUAAUGUGCCUAUUUAUUUUUAGUGAUUAUUAUUAUUAUUUAUAUAAUAUUUUUUUUUUUUUUUUUAAAUCAUUAUUAUGGAGAAUUCUAAAUUGGAUAACAAUUUUUAAGAAAAAUUGUCGUAUAAUAUUUAUUAUUGGU
rnacentral:lncRNA from 1 species